UGAAGCUCCUCUGCAGUCAGUAGGAGGAGACUUGUAUGUCAAACUAUCUUCAUUUUGUCACAUCGUGGUGAGGUUGUCUCGUCUUGGUAUCUGUCUUGUGAACUUCCUGUUUUAUUUUGAAAUUAACUCUCCUUUCGUUUCAGGUCACUUACCCUUCCUCCCGUGUCCAUGGUCUGACGUCAUCCCUAAUCCCUGAUUGUUUCCACCUGUGAACCCCUUCCUCAUGUGUAUAAAGUCUGCGUCUUCCCCUGUCUCUGUGCCAAAGUAUUUCGUCUUUAUGUCGUUUACCAAAGCCUUUGAUCACAGCCUUGUUCCACGCCUUGUUGAGAGAUUGAAUCAUAUAUGGUUAAGUAUUGUUCAUGUUUUAUUUUCUCUGAAUUUUGUAUCCUCGAGAAGAGUGAUUUUGAUUUGUAUUUUCUGGUUAGGAUUUUGAGUUGAAGUUUGAAGUUUUACAGCCUUUUGUUUUCCUCGUCACGAGUGAAUUUUUGUUGAUAACUUUAUUAAGAAAGAGUAUUUAAUUUUCAUAGCCUCUGAGUUUCCUCUUCGGAGUGUUUUUUGUUUUGUAAAUUUUGAUAUCUAUGUACAUAUUUAAGAACAGUGUAGGUAUUCCUCCUACGGGAGCGUUUUCAGUUAUUCUGUGUUUCAUGUUGUUUGUCUGGUUUGUCUCGCAGAGUUUCAUAGAGUUUUAUUUGUCAUUCUCGCUGGAGAGUUACAAAAACAGAAUAAUAAAACUUGACACUACUACUGC